CCUCAUCCCAACUCACCCCUAAUCUCCUCCCACUCCAGUUUCUCUGGCCACAGGAUUUCCACUUCUCCCAGCACAGUGUUGUGGCCCUGAGAGAGCGUCUGUGAACUCAACUCCAGAACAACUCGCUUCACGUUUCUCUGAGGAUGACGGUGAGGCCCGAGCCCUGCAGUUCGGAGGAGGCCCCCUUGGACUCUGCAGUUUUGCAGCUGACCCGGGACUACUGUCUGGCAGGGGAGGGCAAAGGAAGAGAAGAAGCACUUUUCUGAUGGGACAUUCGAUGAUGCUUCUUAGUGGGCGUGGCGCUUCCAUUCAAGUCCCCCAUCUCAGUCAGAGCUGGGGACUUGCAGUUUGUCCUUGCCUGACAGGGAUUCGAAGGGCCAAAUUGUUUCUAGAGAAUAAAACGCAUGUUUGAAAUGGAACAAUGUAUUGACUUCAGGAGAAAACAUGCUGAAAGGAAGCCCUGCAGGGAACUUUCUAGAUGAUCUGCUCCAGCUCCCACAUCUUAUUGAAGAGUGAACCUCAAUUCUGAGAGGUGGAGAGACUUGCUAGAGUAACAUACGUGGUUAAUGGAGGAACCAAACCUAGGGUCCAGUUAAGAAAAAUCGUGCUGCAAGACCCACAGGUAGAGAUGACUAUGCUCCACUGGAUGUGUGGCUCUGGGCUUCUGUUCUCUCCAUCUCAUUUGAAAAUAAAGAUUCAGGUUCUCUACAGCAGCCUCUUUUCAGACUCUAAUACGCACACCAAUCACCUGCAGAUGUUGUUAAAAUGCAGAUUCUAGUUCAGUAGAUUGGAGGUGGGGCCUGAGACUCUGCAUUGCUCACAAGUCCCCAGAAAAGCAUUUAGAACAGCCUGCAGCAAUUAAAUAUUUCCUGCUACCCCAGUUCAUCCCCCGUUGACUUCAUAGAAGAGGUGGAGACCUAAGUUAGCAAAGUCUUCGCCUUCUUAAGCCACCUCAUCAACAACUGCCUGAGGGGAUUCGAAGAAACAGGUUUGGUGUCUCUCUCCUUCAGGUUUUCCCUGUUUUUCCACACAGAUAUCUAUCUGGAAGCAUUCCCCAAAGCUUAGAAAAGGUGAAAGGCAAAUACUGGACAAAAUGUUAAAACCCUUAAGGACUUAUUAUUUGUUCCAAAUAUAAAAAAUAAUUCCUAGAUAAAACAUUUCCAUUUUACAAAUCAAGAAUAGCUGCUUAAUCCAUAACAAAUUAAAAACCAUUGUUCUAUUCCUGGUCCAGAAACACAGUAGUUUGACCAAAGAUUUCAAUUCUGCAUUUCCCAUC
rnacentral:lncRNA from 1 species